UUCAUAUUAAAUUUAUUCACUUAUUAAGCGAUGUGAAUUGAUAGCGAUCUGAUUCAAAAGAGAAACGCACCAAUAGCGCCUUCAAUAAGAUUAUGUUAAACUGAGAGCAUCAGCAGAAUACAUUUAAAUGUGAUCCGCACAUUCCUUGGAAGUCUUCAUGCAAGGAGAAUGGUGGAAUUAAUAGAGGAAAGGCGGAAAAACAAAAUAUCGAAAAGAAAACUGGCUCGAGAACCAUCGCUGUAUACUCUGACAAAUCAGCAUGAAUAGACUCACGCUUGAACAACUCUACGAAAUUAUCCAAAUUUACUUUGAAAAUCAGGCUCUAGAGCAGUUGGCAAAUGACCCGUUGUUUUAUCGCAAAAUUGUGUUCAGCGAUGAGGCGCAUUUUUGGCUUAACAGGUUUGUUAAUAAGCAAAAUUGCCGCAUAUGGAGUGAAACCGAUCCACAAGAGACCCUACAGACUCCAUUACAUCCAGAAAAAUGCACCGUAUGGUGCGGUUUUCACGCUGGUGGCAUCAUCGGACCUUAUUUCUUCAAAAAUGAGGCCGGAGCACGCGUUACGGUCAAUGGAGAUCGUUAUCGCACCAUGACCAAUGACUUUUUGUUUAAAAAUACGGAUGACAUUGAUCCGGAGGAGAUGUGGUUUCAACAGGAUGGCGCUACGUGCCAUGCGGCGAACGCAACCAUCGACUUAUUGAAAUCAAAAUUACGCGAUAAGUUGAUUUCGAGAAGUGGACCUGUCAAUUGGCCUCCAAGGUCGUGCGAUGUGACACCUCUCCAUUAUUUUCUGUGGGGCUACGUGAAGUCACUGGUUUAUGCUGAUAAACCAGCAACAAUUUACGCCUUAGAGGCCAGCAUUGUUCGCGACAUACGGCCAGCAGUGCUCGAAAAAAUGGCAAAAAAUUGGACGUCCAGAAUGCACUUCGUCAAGAACAGCCGCGGUGCCCAUAUGCCCGAAUCAUUUUCAAGUGUUGAUCUUUCGAAUAAAAAAAAAAAAUUGAUUCAAA